GGGCCCUUAGCUCAGGUGGCUAGAGCACAGUGCUGAUAACGCUGGGGUCGAUGGUUCGAGUCCAUCAGGGCCCACCA
rnacentral:tRNA from 1 species